UACAUAGGGUGCAAGCGUUGUCCGGAAUUAUUGGGCGUAAAGCAUCCGUAGCCGGCUCUGUAAGUUUUCGGUUAAAUCUGUACGCUCAACGUACAGGCUGCCGGGAAUACUGCAGAGCUAGGGAGUGGGAGAGGUAGACGGUACUCGGUAGGAAGGGGUAAAAUCCUUUGAUCUAUUGAUGACCACCUGUGGCGAAGGCGGUCUACCAGAACACGUCCGACGGUGAGGGAUGAAAGCUGGGGGAGCAAACCGG
rnacentral:rRNA from 1 species